rnacentral:rRNA from 1 species
GACGAACGCUGGCGGCGUGCUUAACACAUGCAAGUCGAACGGAAAGGCCUUUUCGGAGGUACUCGAGUGGCGAACGGGUGAGUAACACGUUGGUGAUCUGCCCUGCACUCUGGGAUAAGCCUGGGAAACUGGGUCUAAUACCGGAUAGGACCGCACUUUAGUGUGUGUGGUGGAAAGUUUUUUCGGUGUAGGAUGAGCCCGCGGCCUAUCAGCUUGUUGGUGGGGUAAUGGCCUACCAAGGCGGCGACGGGUAGCCGGACUGAGAGGUUGGUCGGCCACAUUGGGACUGAGAUACGGCCCAGACUCCUACGGGAGGCAGCAGUGGGGAAUAUUGCACAAUGGGCGCAAGCCUGAUGCAGCGACGCCGCGUGGGGGAUGACGGCCUUCGGGUUGUAAACUCCUUUCGCCAGGGACGAAGCGUUUUGUGACGGUACCUGGAGAAGAAGCACCGGCUAACUACGUG